rnacentral:rRNA from 1 species
GACGAACGCUGGCGGCGUGCCUAAUACAUGCAAGUCGAGCGAAGUUUUUCUGGUGCUUGCACCGGAAAAACUUAGCGGCGAACGGGUGAGUAACACGUAAAGAACCUGCCUCAUAGACUGGGACAACUAUUGGAAACGAUAGCUAAUACCGGAUAACAGCAUUAACUGCAUGGUUGAUGUUUAAAAGUUGGUUUUGCUAACACUAUGAGAUGGCUUUGCGGUGCAUUAGCUAGUUGGUGGGGUAAAGGCCUACCAAGGCGACGAUGCAUAGCCGACCUGAGAGGGUGAUCGGCCACACUGGGACUGAGACACGGCCCAGACUCCUACGGGAGGCAGCAGUAGGGAAUCUUCCGCAAUGGGCGAAAGCCUGACGGAGCAACGCCGCGUGAGUGAAGAAGGAUUUCGGUUCGUAAAGCUCUGCUGUUAGGGAAGAAUGAUUGUGUAGUAACUAUACACAGUAGAGACGGUACCUAACCAGAAAGCCACGGCUAACUACGUG